AGUGCGUAGAGAAGGAGGUGAGGGGAAAAGUGCAGCCAGAAACGUAAUAGGAUGUUAAUGAGGAGCUGGUGUAGGGGCUGCAACCUGGCGCACUCUAAGUAAACGUGCGCCAGGAAAAAAAGUAAGAAAGCACAUAGACCUUCCUAGCUGAGGAUUCUGUUACUGUCAUUUACAAUAAGGCUCCUUUGCAUUACUCUGGCAAGGUAAAGAAGCCUUAGUUGACUAAGAAUGGGAACAAUUAACUAAUAAUGGGAGCAUUAGCAGCCUACCAGCUUAGUUGUUACAUUUCUGUAUGCCUUAGGGACAGAGCCUGUUUUACACAGCCUUACACCUCCAAGCCCAGGAGUGGUGUCUCUCACUUGCUCACACACAGGCAUGCACCCAACCCCGACCCCUUUAACAUCUCUCCAGGGACGCACACAUGCAUGUCCACUCCCCCCCCCCCCCACCCCUGUUGAUCUGCUCUUUCUUCCAAGGGAGGGGUGUGUGUGCCCCACAGAUUUCUUUUCUUCCCCAUUUUUUUGCGGGGGAGUCCAGAAAUCUGCGGAAGGUAUGGAUUCUGCACCCCUGCAGAAUUCCCUCAGGAGUACUGUAGUGCUGAGUAAUCAGGUACUACUGACAGCAUUGUCUGCACAGUCUUGUACUUAGAAAAAUCCAAACCUUCGUACUAUUCUGUUUAACUCCCCUCACAGUUUAUAGAUUUAAAAAAACUGUUGCUCACGUACAAAAAUUUUCAGAUGAUUCUCUUUUGACCAUCUUGACUAAAAAGUGAGCUCCUGUUUUGGUCUGUUUAAUUGCACGAGAGAGCCAUACAGCUGCUUUCAAAAACUUUACUCAACCACAGUUAUCUAGGCAUGUAAUUGUUCGUUUUGCACCGUCAUCCUUGUAAAAGGUAGGGGAAAAGAUUUUGUGGCUGACCUGGUAAGUUUUGUGAUCAUUUUGCAAAGCUGCUAUACACUGCAAUAUAAAAAGGAAGGUUAAAAUCCAGAAUUGCUGCUGCUUUCAUGCUAUUGAGGUCAUGCUACUUUUUCCUGAGUUCCCUGAUAUUAAAUGAAGGAUUGACGUAGCCAGUUCUCUGGCUGGAUGGUUGUAGUUGGUUGUCUUGUCCAAACUUGUGUUAUAGAGUUUGAGUUUUAUAUAAAGAACUGAAAUGCCUUACCAGAUUGUGUGUCAAUCUCUCUUUAUUGGAAAAAAAAUUAGUUUUUUCUCCUCUCUACAGGGUGCUGCUUGCAACUAUCUGGCUGAAGAGUUGGGAGAGCCAGAUCCUUAGACCACCUGAUAUUUGAUGGCAGGAUAUUUUUCAGGUUGCUGGUUCAGCUGCAGAAAGACAUCUUGUAGCAUGAACCAGAACAGAAUAGAAGAAGAUAGAGCAGCCUGGCUGUGUUUGCAUGGGGGCAUUUUACAAAGUAUACUGAAAUACAUUCCUUGUCCUACAUCUUGUCUUUCUGUUACCCUCAAGGUCUUUGGAGACAGCGGUUCAGGUAUAGAAGAGCGUGGAGAGAGGUGAAAACAAGAUAGAAAGGAUUCUUGAGGAAAGUGGGACUUCAGGAGAACUAAGGUUUAUUUACAGGACUGAGGCUUCAUGUACUGGCCCAGGUUCAAAGACUGCCCAGAUGAUAGCUGUCUCCAAUGAAAAACAUUCCACAACCUUUCUUUUAUUAAGAAUAUUUUUACUGGCACAGUCUCUCCAUUAUGCCUUAUGAAGCGUGAUGGUAACACACGCUUCCUUAUUCAAUGCACAUAUUGUCAAAUCAUAUAACAUGAGGCAGCACUUCUGUGGAGUGCUGACUCAGUCCAUCUGCACCUUCACAAAUCAUCCUGCUUGUGCACCUAUACAUUAAAAUAAAAUGUUAUCCAAUGUACACAUACACAAAGUAAGGCUCCAGGAUUUAUUUGUUUUUUGCCCUUAUGACAUAAUCAAGUCAAACCUGAUUUUUUUCCACUGUACCACCAAAUAUACACACAUGAGGCUAAUGUCACUGUCAAGUCUCAAGCUUCUGCUGCCUCCAGCUGAAGUACAAGAGAAGCUUUUAACUAAGGCCUGGUCUACACUAUGGGGCUAAAUUGACCUAAGUUCCGCAACUCCAGCUACGUUACUAGCAUAGGUUGACUUAUUGUGGUGUCUACACCACGGUGGGUCGACGGGAGAAACUCUCUCAUCGACUUACCUUAUGCAUCUUGUUCUGGUGGAAUUUUGGAGUUGACAGGAGAGUGAUCUGUGGUCAAUUUAGUGGGUCUUCACUAGACCCACUAAAUCGACCCCCAGUGGAUCAGUCGCUGCGGCGUCGAUCCCCAGUAAGUGUAGACAUAUACCCCUAAGUCACACUUCUGUUUUUCUUCCUCUUCAUAUGGGAGGAGUGUACCUUUUCACUCCCAAACUGAUGCACUGUGUAUGCUCACGUUUUCAGAAAUAUGUGCCCUUGGACUGAACACACAGAAGAUUUCAGCUUGAGAAGUAAGUUUUUGAGAAAGUUAGAAACUAAGACACUAUAUAAUGGAAAUUCUUGUGGCCUUUAACUACAGAUGACAUACACUGGGCAUGUAAUUGGGAAUGUAGGACUCAAUUCAGCAAAGCAGUUAGGCACAUGUUGUAAAUUAAACACAUGAAUAAUCCCAAUUCUAUUCAGCAAAACACUAGUGUGAUUAAAAUUAAGUGCUUUGUUGAAUACAGACCAUAAUGAGCAAUUGGGGAUUUAGUCGUCUUAAAAUACGUAUUUGUCGAUCAAAAAUCUUUUUCCCAUAGAUUUGAUCUGAACAUGGCAUAUAUCACAUGAGCGUUCAUUAUCUGAAAAAUAUCAAAGUAGCCUUAGUUGCUUUCCAAAUAGGCUAGCUGGGGAGCAAAUAGAUUUAAAAAUAAAUAAAUAAAUUCAGGGAGGUUUAUUUUACAGAAUUCAUAUGGGUAAAUUUCCUUUAAAAAUAUUGUCAAUGGUAAGUGAUAUUCAAAAAGGGGAAAUUUCUUUCUGCAUAAACCUUAUUUUUUUUGGCAAAAACCACCUAGAAUUUUACUUUCUUUCAUUCUGAACAGAGAAAAACAAUUGUCAUACUGGUACGGAGGAAGAGGAAAAAUGCAACUAGCUGUAGGCACUGAAAUGUGACUUGGAAAUAUGUCCCCUGGGUUUUAUAAAAAAAAAAAAAAAAAGUCACUCAAUUUU